rnacentral:rRNA from 1 species
AGAGUUUGAUCCUGGCUCAGGAUGAACGCUGGCGGCGUGCCUAAGACAUGCAAGUCGAGGGGGUUAGACCCCCGGCGAACGGGUGAGUAACACGUGGGAACUUUCGUUAAGUUUGGGAUAUCCUUCCGAAAGGGAGAGCAAUACCAAAUGUGGAAGCAAUUCUAAAGCAGCAAUGCGCUUAACGUGAGGCCUGCGGCCCAUCAGCUAGUUGGUAGGGUAAUGGCCUACCAAGGCGAUGACGGGUAGCGGAAGCGAGAGCUUGAUCCGCCACACUGGGACUGCGACACGGCCCAGACUCCUACGGGAGGCAGCAGUUUGGAAUUUUGGACAAUGGACGAAAGUCUGAUCCAGCGACGCCGCGUGCACGAAGAAGGCCUUCGGGUUGUAAAGUGCUUUUGCAGGGAACGAAUUUUUGACGGUACCCUGAGAAUAAGAGGUUGCUAACUCUGUGCCAGCAGCAGCGGUAAUACAGAGACCUCAAGCGUUAUCCGGAAUCAUUGGGCGUAAAGCGUUCCGAUAGGUGGUUUUGGUAGUUUUGGGUAAAAGCCAGAAGCUCAACUUCUGCGUUUGCUCAAAAUACUCCAAGACUAGAGGGGCAAAGAGGUGGCUGGAACCAACGGUGUAGUAGUGAAAUGCGUUGAUAUCGUUGGGAACACCGAAAGCGAAGGCAGGCCACUGGGUGUCACCUGACACUGCUAGGACGAAAGCGUGGGGAGCGAAUGGGAUUAGAUACCCUAGUAGUCC